GGAGCGAGAGGGGGAGAGCGAGAAAGAGGUGGAGAGAGAGAGAGGUAAGGAACAUAGGAGCUAGCAAUAAAUAAGGAGUGGAGAGGGGAAGAGAGAGAGAGAGAGAGAGAGAGAGAGAGAGAGAGAGAGAGAGGGGUGGCAGGGCUAUCUCCCUCUCACGUGUCCUGCCACACCGGCUGCCUGCUGCUCCUGACCUUCGAGAUGUUUUUCUCUCUCCUUCCCUCUCUCCCUCCCUCUCUCUCUCUCUCCAUGGCUCUCCCUUUAUCUGCCUCCCCCCUCCACCCUCCCCCCUCCACCCUCCGCCCUCCUCCUCCCUCCCGUGCUCACUCACUCACCCCCAGACAGAGUGUGCUGCUGCUGAGCUCCCAGGCGGAGGGGGGUUUGUCAUUAAAAGGCAUUGCAUUUCAGCCAUCAGACAGAUGGGGCGAGCUGGGCGAGGCUGCUCCUCCUUCACUCCCUGGCUGGCUGGCUGACUGGGUGACUGACUGACUGGCUGGGAGAGGCUGCUCCUCUUUCACUCCCUGGAUGACUGACUGACUGACUUGGUGACUGACUGACUGGCUGGGAGAGGCUUCUCCUCCUUCACUCCCUGGAUGACUGACUGACUGGAUGACUGAACGGCUGUGUGGCUGGAUGGCAGACUGACUGGGUUGGUGACUGACUGACUGGCUGGCUUGGUUGGCGCUUGGCUGACUGGCUGGCUCCAGCAUUGAGAACCCGUAUGUGAUACCUCUCUUUGACACACUGCCAUGCGUCACACAAACACACACACACACACACACACUAAGACAAACACACCUUCAGUGUUCCUGGAAGCGUAUAGUGUCAGUGUUUGUCGGUCCUGCCGGUUAGGAGAAUCAAGUGUUCUAGAGAUCUGGACCCCACACCCAACACACAACAGCAGACACUGGGACUUCCAGUCCAGUAGAGCCUCUUACUUUCCUAGCAUGGCUGAAUCUCUCGUUAUAGGGAACAAAUGAAUGCAUAAACCCCACAGCGUUCAAUAGGUAUAAACGCACAACGACUCAAACGCACACUAGCGUGCACAUGCACACAAACAGGGACACAAAAUGUUUUCUUUCGAUGAUAUGAUGCACCACUUUUCAUGUUGCUGUCGUUGUCUUUCAUUUCCCUGCGCUCUGCCUGUGUCUCUCGCCCAGCCUAUCCCUUUGGGCAUUGAGGAGUUGAUUCUCUCUCUCUCUCUCUCCCUCUUUCUAUCUGACUCCCUCCCUCUCUCCCUCUCUCCCUCUCUCCCUCUCUCCCUCUCUCUCUCUCUCUCUCUCUCUCUCUCCAGAGCCACAAAUGUCUGCUAAUUACAGCGUUGCGCGGCAUGGACGGGCUCUUUUUUUCCCCAAGUGCUCAGAUAAGCUUGUUGUCCACAGAGCCAAGACAGAAGCAGUCAAGCGCCGCACUGUGACCACCACUACCACCACCACCACUGACCGCCCUGCCAGGCCUGGAACCCGACAACACCCCCCUCGGACCCUCUGCAGCGAUUCCCUAUCUGCAGGCCCCUCACCUCCAGAUAAUCCAGAGGGAGAUCUGCCCGUGUGGGGAGGAGGUGGGCGCCGGAGGAAAGGAGCAGGAGACGGUGGGAGGCAUUCUUGAGCAAGGUGGCACACCCCUCAGAGAUCCGUUUAAACCUGCUCCCAGGGAGAACUGAUCCUUUAUGGUUCUCGUGUCACGCUCACAAUGUGCACUUAGGGUGCUAAGUCGAGAGGGAUACGAAGAGGGUGGAAGAAAUGCAAGUCAUUGUCACCGAGCAAAACAACAAACUGACACCUCGGCCAGUGAGUGUGUGUGUGUGUGUGUGCGCGUGCGCGUGUGCAUGUGUGUG
ensembl:lncRNA